UAACAGAUAUUUCAAAUGGUAAUCUAUUCUUUAUAUCAUGUAUGUUGGUAUUUUAAACUGUGAAUUUUUUUUUUUAUUCAGUCGAAAUUAUCUCAUAAAUUUUAUAUUCAGUUUUAGGAUCUUCUAUCCCUCAUGCUCAUGGUCAAAAUAAUGAUUCCUCGACGGCAAAAAGAAAGUAUACCGCAUCUACAAGUAGACCGAGGAAAAACAAAGUUUCAGCAGGUUUCGAAUGUGCUUACUUUAUGCGUUUAUUAGAUGUUAUUAACAUAUAUUAGUAUGUUAAUAAUUAUUUUAAGACUUUUUUAUAGGAGAAAAUGUUUGUCCAAAUGCAAACAGUCCCACAGAGAUUGUUAUUCCGAGACUCACAAAUGAACGCAGACCAGAUCCUAACACAAGUUCUCCAGUUUCAACCGCUGCGCCAUUGACAUAUAUUUCAAAUGGUAAUUUAUUCUGUACAUAUCUAGAUAUUUUUUAUUGUGAAAUAUAUAUAUAUUUUUAUAUUCAGCCAAAAUUACCUUAAUAGUUUCAUAUUCAGUUUUAGGAUCUUCUAUCGCUCAUGCUCAUGGUCAAAAUAACGAUUCCUCAACGGCAAAAAGAAAGUAUACCGCAUCUACAAGCAGACCGAGGAAAAAGAAAGUUUCAGCAGGUUUCGAAUGUGCUUACUUUAUGUGUUUAUUAGAUGCUAUUAACAUAUAUUGCUAUGUUUAAAAUUAUUUUUAAGACUUUUUGAUAUAUGGUCAUUUUAAUUAAUCUUAAAA
rnacentral:lncRNA from 1 species